rnacentral:ncRNA from 2 species
UACUUAUCCAGAGUGGUGGAGGGAACUGGCCCUUUGAAACCCAGCAACCUGCAUGUUGUGCAAGGUGCUAACUCCAACAAAAUGAUUUUCAUUUUGAAAGAUAAGGU